rnacentral:rRNA from 1 species
GACGAACGCUGGCGGCGUGCCUAAUACAUGCAAGUCGAACGCAGGGGGGACGGGUGAGUAACACGUGGGUAACCUCCCAUCAGAGGGGAUAAAACUUGGAAACAGGUGCUAAACCGAUACUGAUGGAUGGACCCGCUGUGCAUUAGCUAGUUGGUGAGGUAACGGCUCACCAAGGCCACGAUGCAUCGCCGUACUGAGAGGGUGAGCGGCCACACUGGGACUGAGACACGGCCCAGACUCCUACGGGAGGCAGCAGUAGGGAAUAUUCGGCAAUGGACGCAAGCCUGACCGAGCCACGCCGCGUGAGUGAAGAAGGUUUUCGGAUCGUAAAACUCUUUUGUUAGAGAAGCGGUAUCUAACCAGAAAGCCCCGGCUAACUACGUGCCAGCCGCCGCGGUAAUUC